GACGCACGGACCUGCACCUGCAAGCGCGCUCUGGCAGCCGAGGCGGACCUGCCAGGUAAGAAAGCUCCCCGGCUCCGCCCAGCCUCUGCGGCCAAUCCGACGCUCCCAGCGGCCAGGAGCCCAGCCAAUGGCUGCCCUUCCUAGGCGCAGCCAAUCGGAGGAGAGCCAAUCGCUCGGGCUGGCAAAUGAGGGGGCAGCCAGGGCCCUGCGGGAGGGCACCGCCAGACGCGGCGGCCCUCCGCGGCCUCUAGGAUCCGGGGGCGCCCGCCGGGACGCCAGGACGCCCCAAACAGACAAGAGCGCCGGUCAUGGAUCCGGGACAAGCCAGCAUCCGCGGGGCCGCCCAGGCGGCCCCGCCGCUGUUUACGCGCGUCGCCCCCUCACUCUUCCUAGGGAGCACGCGCGCCGCGGCAGCGCCGGACCUGCUGGCGCGCGCGGGCGUCACCCUGUGCGUCAACGUCUCGCGCCAGCAGCCCGGCCCGCGCGCGCCCGGCGUGGCCGAGCUGCGCGUGCCCGUGUUCGACGACCCGUCCGAGGACCUGCUGGCGCACCUGGAGCCCACCUGCGCCGCCAUGGAGGCCGCGGUGCGCGCCGGCGGCGCCUGCCUCGUCUACUGCAAGAACGGCCGCAGCCGCUCAGCCGCCGUCUGCACCGCCUACCUCAUGCGGCACCGCAGCCUCAGCCUGGCACAGGCCUUCCAGGCGGUGAAGAGAGCCCGCCCCGUGGCCGAGCCCAACCCGGGCUUCUGGGCUCAGCUCCAGAAGUACGAGGAGGCCCUGCGGCCCCUGCCCCGGGAGCCCUCGGGAGGAGACGCGCUGCGGGGCGAGCCCUAAGGCUUCAGCCGCCGGCCCCCAGCCCCACAGCGGGGCGCGGCGCUUCCCGCGGUCGUUCUGUCCUUCCUCGCUGCCACGCGGGCGUCCCCAUUUUCCGCAUCUUCCUGAAAUGCAGCGGGACGGGGUCUUCGGAGACCGCCCCACCCCUAGUGGGCAGGCUUAUUAGACAGGAUUUGGUCGGGAAAAUCAAAACCGCUUGAGGAGUUUUAGGCAGAAAGGCAUUUAAUACCAAGAGGUCAAGGCCGGGGAGACAAGGUCAGGAGAGGCCGCAGGAGUCAGACGACCCACCGACCCUGGUCGCCAAUGUGCAGUGGGCAGCCUGGAGGACGCCUGGGGCUGCUGGCCAAGCCCCAGCCUGCCACUAGCUGGAGCCGUGUGGCUUUGUGCAGCCUUCACAGCGGUCCGGUCUCAACCCAGCUGGGAUCCAGCGGAGAGUCCGCGGCUUCCAGACUUGUAGCUGCCGCCCAGGGUGCAAGGCCACGUGACAGACCGCCCAGCAUGGGCGCGGCUGGGGCUCCCAGCGUCCAUGCCCGCCGCCUGCCUUACUUGCCUCCCAGUUCCCAGAACAGCACCGAGCCCUGGCUUAACAUCCCACAGCCACCCUCACGCCAAUGAUGCACCGGCCCGCAGUGCCUCUGAGCGUGUGGAUUCCUUCUCUGGUGUAGACACAUCUCACCUGGAUCCCAUGGCCUAAAGACUACUAGAAAAUCAUCAUCAACAUCCCCUAAAUAAGGUAGUGGGGAAAGGAAAAAGGAAAAACUGGGCAACACAUGUAAAUUACAGAAACUACAGUCCCUUGUUUAUACAUACAAAUAUAGACAAGGUAAUUAAUAAAAUACUGUGGCUGGUGUUUAUCAUUUCCCUUUUCCUCUACUCGCUCUUCCCUCACUGGUCCAGGUCUUUCCUGAUGGGGUGAUGAGCCCAUCCUGAAGGGCCCUGAUGGCUUUGCCUGCUUUGGUGCUGGGGCCUCCAUCUCCUCCCCCAAGACCCAGGAGUACUGGGUCUUGUAUCAGGGUGUCCUGGCUUCAGUGCACUCCUCCCGGCCCACUGAAGAGCAGCAAAGCCCAGCUCCUGAGAGUCAGGAUUGGUCACUCCUACCCAAUGUGCCUGAGGAGCCCCAAACAGCUAUGUGGAGCACCUCCAUCAUAGGUACUGGAGAUUGUAUCGAAGACUCUGGAGAGGAGCGAGGAGUUUGAUCGGCCCU